GCAGUCGUAGCUCAGUGGUUAAGCUUUUGCUUUACUGCUCAGAAGGUCGUGAGAUCAAACCCCACUAGUGCC